GUGGGUAGUUUGACUGGGGCGGUCUCCUCCUAAAGAGUAACGGAGGAGCACGAAGGUUGGCUAAUCCUGGUCGGACAUCAGGAGGUUAGUGCAAUGGCAUAAGCCAGCUUGACUGCGAGCGUGACGGCGCGAGCAGGUGCGAAAGCAGGUCAUAGUGAUCCGGUGGUUCUGAAUGGAAGGGCCAUCGCUCAACGGAUAAAAGGUACUCCGGGGAUAACAGGCUGAUACCGCCCAAGAGUUCAUAUCGACGGCGGUGUUUGGCACCUCGAUGUCGGCUCAUCACAUCCUGGGGCUGAAGUAGGUCCCAAGGGUAUGGCUGUUCGCCAUUUAAAGUGGUACGCGAGCUGGGUUUAGAACGUCGUGAGACAGUUCGGUCCCUAUCUGCCGUGGGCGCUGGAGAACUGAGGGGGGCUGCUCCUAGUACGAGAGGACCGGAGUGGACGCAUCACUGGUGUUCGGGUUGUCAUGCCAAUGGCACUGCCCGGUAGCUAAAUGCGGAAGAGAUAAGUGCUGAAAGCAUCUAAGCACGAAACUUGCCCCGAGAUGAGUUCUCCCUGAGACUUAAAGUCUCCUGAAGGAACGUUGAAGACGACGACGUUGAUAGGCCGGGUGUGUAAGCGCAGCGAUGCGUUGAGCUAACCG
rnacentral:rRNA from 1 species